rnacentral:lncRNA from 1 species
GCCAGAGAGAGCGCGCACCGGGGGGGCGGGGCGGGCGGCGGGGCGGGGCGGGGCGGGCGGGGCGGGCGGGGCGGGCGGGGCGGGCGGGCGGCGGGGCGGGGCGGGGCGGGGCGGGCGGCGGGGCGGGGCGGGGCGGGCGGGGCGGCGGCGGCCCCCCUCCCCCCCGGGGCGCGGGAGCCCGCGGGGAGGAAAAGGCGGAGGAGCAGGCGCGCGCGCCGCGCCCACUCAAGACGGGCCCCGUCCCACCCCGCAGCGAGCGAGCGUGACGGACUGACCGACCCCGCCCCCGCGGGACCGGGCCAACACCGGCGACGGCGUGGAGAGGCGGGGGAGGACACGCACACGUCCCCCCCUCCAACGCGCGCCGACCCCCAACAACCCGGUGGCGGCGCGCGAGCGAGGGACGGAGCCCCGGACAGGUCGCGCCGAGGCUGGCACAGCAGGCCGGCGCACACGCUCACGCGGGGCGGGGGCCGGGCCGAGACCCGGGCACCCCUCCACCGGGGGGGCGGGCGGGGCGGGGCGGGGCGGGCGGGGCGGGCGGGCGGCGGGGCGGGCGGCGGGGCGGGCGGCGGGGCGGGCGGCGGGGCGGGCGGCGGGGCGGGCGGGGCGGGGGGGGGGGGGGGGGCACGGCGGAGGAAGGGGACGGACGAUCCCCCCCGUCUGCACACAACACCGCCGCCGGGCCGGACGGUGGCGGCGGACACGGAGAGGAGGCCGCAGCGGGCCUGGGAAGCGCCCACACACCAGAGCGCCGGCGAAGAGCGACGGGGAACAGGACCGCGGGCCAACGGCAAGGGAGCCCCACGGGUUUCCAACCAGGCGCCUCGAGGGGGCGGACCCUGGGGCAAACCCUCGCAGAGGGCCCUCCGGCCCUGCCACCCGCAGCCGCCGCACGACCGGCCCCUGGAACGCUCUCCCGCACACGCGGCGACCCACCACCCGCGCCCCGCCCCGGCCGAACCCCCGACGCGCGCAGCCGGCGCCCCUUUCUCUCUUCUUCCCCCCAUUCCUUCGCUUCACGCGGGGCGGGGGGCGGGCGGCGGGGCGGGCGGGGCGGGCGGGGCGGGGCGGGCGGCGGGCGGGGCGGGCGGCGGGCGGGGCGGGCGGCGGGCGGGGCGGGGCGGGCGGGCGGCGGGCGGGGCGGGGCGGGCGGGGCGGGGCGGGCGGCGGGCGGGGCGGGGCGGGCGGGGCGGGGCGGGCGGGCGGCGGGCGGGCGGCGGGCGGGGCGGGGCGGGCGGCGGGCGGGCGGCGGGCGGGGCGGGGCGGGGCGGGGCGGGCGGGGCGGGGCGGGCGGGCGGCGGGCGGGGCGGGGCGGGGCGGGGCGGGGCGGGGCGGGGC